CUACUUUGUAUUAAGAGGAAUCUCAUCAGACUAACACUGUUUAAGAAACUUUUCAUUUGGAUGGAGGUUGAGACCAAGAGGGGUACAAUUCUUAAAGAAAUGUAGUAUCUCAGUAUUGCAGCUACUCACAAGACAAGUGACAAAAACUGCCACUGACUUGGUGGGAACUGAUUCAGUUUUGAGAAAUUUUAGGGAACAAAUCUCUGACCGAUAUUGGUGGUUCUGAGUAAGGACAUUUUCUAUUUUCAGUCUGACUGAGAGUGGACCUAAGCACAUUUUGAACACAAUAGUACAGUUUCUCACAUCAAUAUUCUUCAUAUUGCCAAAACAGGUGGAAAUAAAUAGUAGGAAAUGUCCCAGGUGUCGUUUUUUAAAAAAAUGUUCUGACAGAUGAGUGUUAUUUCCCAUAGCAUGUAGUUUCCCUGUUUGUAGAUAGGAAGCUAUGAGCAAUCAAAAAUAAGAUAAGCUUUAUGUUAUAUUACUGUCUGUGUGUAUGUUACAGAAAUAGAAACAUCAUAAAUAAGAAGUGUGUAUGAUAAUCUGUGUCAGGACUCCUGUACGCAUUAUAAAGCAAGAGAAGAAGGGGAGAUGAAAGCAAUCUUAAACUGUUAAUGCCACAGUAGAAUCUAGCAUCAUUAGAAUAGGACUUUAAGAAAGAUCUCACUCCAACACAUCAACAGACCUAAGAAAUAACAAGGGUGGAAACCAUCAUUAAUUUUUUUUGUUAUUUUUUACUCAAAGUGUAAUGAACUAUUUUCAAAUACAGUAAUUGUUUGAGAUAAUUCACUCCAGAUCAUCCCAGAGGAAAAGCAGACUCACAGAAAGAAAGUGAACAUAUUAGAAUUUCACCAGUCUGGAGAUACCCUUCAGGCUGACCCAGAGCACUACCUGUUCUUUUCUAAAAUAGGGUCAAAUAAUAGGCCUGAUACUUCUGAGUGGAGUGGCCUUUCUGCUCAAUGAAAGCAAUCCUGAGCUGUUUGCUUGACACUCUUAUUGACUCAAAAGUUUUCAGUUGUGGAUUUUUUUGUGCAAAUGUAAUGAAGAUGCUAUCACUGAUGGUGAUGCUACCAAAGUACUUUCCAAACUGACUGGUUGAGAUCUUGUAAAAAAAGUGGCUUUUUACUGUCUCUGAUGAGUCUGAAGUAAGAAGAACAGAGUGGGGGGGAAAAAAGAAAAAAGAAAAAAAAAGAAAAAAAGAAAAGAAACCCUAAAUUUAAUAAUGUUAAUCUGGAUUACUCUUUGUUUCACUUUCUAAACUGUUAUACCAUUUUUGCUGUUCACAUUUGUAUCUAAAUAUGUUGUUCAUUCUCUUGCUCCAGGAAACCUUUAGAAAUUGCUAUGCAAUUUCUUCACCGUUGAUACAGUGAACUCAUCUGGGCAUGACCUCCAUUACAAAUGGAAAGAAGGGGACAGAGAAUGUGUGAGAAAGUGUGGAUUCAGAAUCUUACUCACUUCUUUCUGUUUCCUGCACUGACGGCAUCCAAUCUUUCUGAAAAAGGGAAACAUGAAGUUUAAGUCUACACAAGGAACACUAUGAUUGUCAGAUCUGAAUCCCUGGAAAACACAGCAUCUCAUCCAAGGAACUGCUACACAGCCUCGUGCCUCCAUGUACCACCAAUCACUUGCCAGUGCUGUGUCAUAAAGCUGAAGCCUGUGGCAGAAGAACAAAUGCCACAUUUUGCUUUUUUUUUUUUCAGAGUUCAAUUAACUAAGACCAGCAAUCACAUAAGACCCCGAAAGUAACUCGGAUUUUGUUGAACAGGACUCCAGAAGGGCCAAAAAAAGUAGAUAAGGGCAAAACAAAUACAUGCUUGCCUUCCUGAUCUGGGUUGGCUAAAGGCGCUGGAGCAGAGUAUGUUGGAUGUUUAAGUUAGUUGUGUUAUCUUUGGGGAGUAACAUCAUCGUUGCAAAUACAGCUCAGGUAAACAGAGAUUCAGGUUGUUCUCUGUUCCCCUCAGAGAGAAGAAGAAGCUCUUGAUCGCCGAGGUUGGCUGCUUCGGAGCCGCCCUGGGCAGAAGCACAGCGACUGAACGCAAAAUACACGGCAGUUUCGGCCGGUCCCCACAUCCAGGGCGCCCGGGAUAACGGAGCAGCCCGGCAGCUCUCGCGAGAGCGGCUGACGUGGCGUGAGCGUUGCCAAGGCGACGGCGGGAGAUUUGAACGGGCACAAACCCAGAAGAAACCCUUGAUCACCGAGGUUGGCUGCUUCGGAGCUGUCCCGGGCAGAACCGUAGCGAAUGAUCGCGAGGGAAAAGUGAGAAACAGCUGCCGCACCUAGGGGAACUGUAAGCAGUGCAUCAGGCCUCGUGGAAACAAAAAGGAAGCAGUAGAUCAUCUCAGCAAGAGCAGAAAAGAAGGAAGAAUGAAGAACGAUGUGCGAGGGAAAACGGAUGCAGCAAUGUUCUUGUGAACAUACUGAGAUACCAUGGUGACAAGCACAGGAGGUCAACCUGGAAAGGCAGCAUACACAUGCAGCCCAGAAGACCAACUGAAUCCUUGGCUGCAUCAAGAGAAGAAUGGCUAGCAGGGAGAGCAGAAGGCAGCAGCCCCAUUCCAGACAGCACCAACCCCACAACGUCACGGACACAUUAUCAGAGGCAGUCACCAGCUCCAGAAACCACCCUAUACUAUCAAAGCCAUGUCACAAGAACACAAAAUUGGGGUGGCUGCGUUCCAGAAUGAACUUGGCGUCAUAGCAACCUGGAAUGAAAACCAGAAGGGAAGCGAGCAAGAGAUCACCACCAGGAUACAAGAGUAAGCAAGGACUGUGGCGGAUAAAAGAAGACGAUGAAGAUGGAUGGAAGCUGCUGCUCCCCUGCCUCACACUUAAACACAGGCAAAAGCAUAGCAAGAUAGGGACACAGCAGGAUAUCAAAACACUCCUGUACUUACUCGCUUUUCUCUCCUAAAAAGAGGGCCACGCACCCCACAAUAGGUAAGUAACAACCAUAUUAAAAUCCACGUUAAU